rnacentral:rRNA from 1 species
AAAGCCGGGCUAAUACCGCAUACGCCCUACGGGGGAAAGCAGGGGAUCUUCGGACCUUGCACUAUUGGAUGAGCCUGCGGCGGAUUAGCUAGUUGGUAGGGUAAAGGCCUACCAAGGCAACGAUCCGUAGCUGGUCUGAGAGGACGACCAGCCACACUGGGACUGAGACACGGCCCAGACUCCUACGGGAGGCAGCAGUGGGGAAUAUUGGACAAUGGGGGCAACCCUGAUCCAGCAAUGCCGCGUGUGUGAAGAAGGCCUUCGGGUUGUAAAGCACUUUUAGUGGGGACGAAAAAAGCUCGGCUAAUAUCCGGGUUCUUGACGGUACCUACAGAAAAAGCACCGGCUAACUCUGUGCCAGCAGCCGCGGUAAUACAGAGGGUGCAAGCGUUAAUCGGAAUUACUGGGCGUAAAGCGUGCGUAGGUGGUUGGCUUAGUCAGGUGUGAAAUCCCCAGGCUCAACCUGGGAACUGCAUCUGAUACUGGCCAGCUAGAGUUUGGUAGAGGGAAGUGGAAUUCCACGUGUAGCGGUGAAAUGCGUAGAUAUGUGGAGGAACACCAGUGGCGAAGGCGGCUUCCUGGACUAAAACUGACACUGAGGCACGAAAGCGUGGGUAGCAAACAGGAUUAGAUACCCUGGUAGUCCACGCCGUAAACGAUGGGUACUAGACGUUGGGAGGUCUAACUUCUUAGUGUCGCAGCUAACGCAAUAAGUACCCCGCCUGGGGAGUACGGCCGCAAGGUUAAAACUCAAAGGAAUUGACGG